rnacentral:rRNA from 1 species
GACGAACGCUGGCGGCGUGCCUAAUACAUGCAAGUUGAGCGCUGAAGGUUGGUACUUGUACCAACUGGAUGAGCAGCGAACGGGUGAGUAACGCGUGGGGAAUCUGCCUUUGAGCGGGGGACAACAUUUGGAAACGAAUGCUAAUACCGCAUAAAAACUUUAAACACAAGUUUUAAGUUUGAAAGAUGCAAUUGCAUCACUCAAAGAUGAUCCCGCGUUGUAUUAGCUAGUUGGUGAGGUAAAGGCUCACCAAGGCGAUGAUACAUAGCCGACCUGAGAGGGUGAUCGGCCACAUUGGGACUGGGACACGGCCCAAACUCCUACGGGAGGCAGCAGUAGGGAAUCUUCGGCAAUGGACGAAAGUCUGACCGAGCAACGCCGCGGGAGUGAAGAAGGGUUUCGGAUCGUAAAACUCUGUUGGUAGAGAAGAACGUUGGUGAGAGUGGAAAGCUCAUCAAGUGACGGUAACUACCCAGAAAGGGACGGCUAACUACGUG